rnacentral:rRNA from 1 species
CCUACGGGUGGCAGCAGUCGAGAAUCAUUCACAAUGGGGGAAACCCUGAUGGCGCGACGCCGCGUGGGGGAAUGAAGGUCUUCGGAUUGUAAACCCCUGUCAUGUGGGAGCAAAUUAAAAAGAUAGUACCACAAGAGGAAGAGACGGCUAACUCUGUGCAAGCAGCCGCGGUAAUACAGAGGUCUCACGCGUUGUUCGGAAGCACUGGGCGUAAAGCGUGUGUAGGCUGUUUCGUAAGUCGUGUGUGAAAGGCCCGGGCUCAACCCGCGGACGGCACAUGAUACUGCGAGACUAGAGUAAUGGAGGGGGAACCGGAAUUCUCGGUGUAGCAGUGAAAUGCGUAGAGAUCGAGAGGAACACUCGUGGCGAAGGCGGGUUCCUGGACAUUAACUGACGCUGAGGCACGAAGGCCAGGGGAGCGAAAGGGAUUAGAUACCCCUGUAGUC